rnacentral:rRNA from 1 species
CACACUAUCAUUAACUGAAUCCAUAGGUUAAUGAGGCGAACCGGGGGAACUGAAACAUCUAAGUACCCCGAGGAAAAGAAAUCAACCGAGAUUCCCCCAGUAGCGGCGAGCGAACGGGGAGCAGCCCAGAGCCUGAAUCAGUGUGUGUGUUAGUGGAAGCGUCUGGAAAGGCGCGCGAUACAGGGUGACAGCCCCGUACACAAAAAUGCACAUGCUGUGAGCUCGAUGAGUAGGGCGGGACACGUGGUAUCCUGUCUGAAUAUGGGGGGACCAUCCUCCAAGGCUAAAUACUCCUGACUGACCGAUAGUGAACCAGUACCGUGAGGGAAAGGCGAAAAGAACCCCGGCGAGGGGAGUGAAAAAGAACCUGAAACCGUGUACGUACAAGCAGUGGGAGCACGCUUAGGCGUGUGACUGCGUACCUUUUGUAUAAUGGGUCAGCGACUUAUAUUCUGUAGCAAGGUUAACCGAAUAGGGGAGCCGAAGGGAAACCGAGUCUUAACUGGGCGUUAAGUUGCAGGGUAUAGACCCGAAACCCGGUGAUCUAGCCAUGGGCAGGUUGAAGGUUGGGUAACACUAACUGGAGGACCGAACCGACUAAUGUUGAAAAAUUAGCGGAUGACUUGUGGCUGGGGGUGAAAGGCCAAUCAAACCGGGAGAUAGCUGGUUCUCCCCGAAAGCUAUUUAGGUAGCGCCUCGUGAAUUCAUCUCCGGGGGUAGAGCACUGUUUCGGCAAGGGGGUCAUCCCGACUUACCAACCCGAUGCAAACUGCGAAUACCGGAGAAUGUUAUCACGGGAGACACACGGCGGGUGCUAACGUCCGUCGUGAAGAGGGAAACAACCCAGACCGCCAGCUAAGGUCCCAAAGUCAUGGUUAAGUGGGAAACGAUGUGGGAAGGCCCAGACAGCCAGGAUGUUGGCUUAGAAGCAGCCAUCAUUUAAAGAAAGCGUAAUAGCUCACUGGUCGAGUCGGCCUGCGCGGAAGAUGUAACGGGGCUAAACCAUGCACCGAAGCUGCGGCAGCGACGCUUAUGCGUUGUUGGGUAGGGGAGCGUUCUGUAAGCCUGUGAAGGUGUGCUGUGAGGCAUGCUGGAGGUAUCAGAAGUGCGAAUGCUGACAUAAGUAACGAUAAAGCGGGUGAAAAGCCCGCUCGCCGGAAGACCAAGGGUUCCUGUCCAACGUUAAUCGGGGCAGGGUGAGUCGACCCCUAAGGCGAGGCCGAAAGGCGUAGUCGAUGGGAAACAGGUUAAUAUUCCUGUACUUGGUGUUACUGCGAAGGGGGGACGGAGAAGGCUAUGUUGGCCGGGCGACGGUUGUCCCGGUUUAAGCGUGUAGGCUGGUUUUCCAGGCAAAUCCGGAAAAUCAAGGCUGAGGCGUGAUGACGAGGCACUACGGUGCUGAAGCAACAAAUGCCCUGCUUCCAGGAAAAGCCUCUAAGCAUCAGGUAACAUCAAAUCGUACCCCAAACCGACACAGGUGGUCAGGUAGAGAAUACCAAGGCGCUUGAGAGAACUCGGGUGAAGGAACUAGGCAAAAUGGUGCCGUAACUUCGGGAGAAGGCACGCUGAUAUGUAGGUGAAGUCCCUUGCGGAUGGAGCUGAAAUCAGUCGAAGAUACCAGCUGGCUGCAACUGUUUAUUAAAAACACAGCACUGUGCAAACACGAAAGUGGACGUAUACGGUGUGACGCCUGCCCGGUGCCGGAAGGUUAAUUGAUGGGGUUANNNNNNNNNNNNNNNNNNNNNNNNNNNNNNNNNNNNNNNNNNNNNNNNNNNNNNNNNNNNNNNNNNNNNNNNNNNNNNNNNNNNNNNNNNNNNNNNNCGCGAAGCUCUUGAUCGAAGCCCCGGUAAACGGCGGCCGUAACUAUAACGGUCCUAAGGUAGCGAAAUUCCUUGUCGGGUAAGUUCCGACCUGCACGAAUGGCGUAAUGAUGGCCAGGCUGUCUCCACCCGAGACUCAGUGAAAUUGAACUCGCUGUGAAGAUGCAGUGUACCCGCGGCAAGACGGAAAGACCCCGUGAACCUUUACUAUAGCUUGACACUGAACAUUGAGCCUUGAUGUGUAGGAUAGGUGGGAGGCUUUGAAGUGUGGACGCCAGUCUGCAUGGAGCCGACCUUGAAAUACCACCCUUUAAUGUUUGAUGUUCUAACGUUGACCCGUAAUCCGGGUUGCGGACAGUGUCUGGUGGGUAGUUUGACUGGGGCGGUCUCCUCCUAAAGAGUAACGGAGGAGCACGAAGGUUGGCUAAUCCUGGUCGGACAUCAGGAGGUUAGUGCAAUGGCAUAAGCCAGCUUGACUGCGAGCGUGACGGCGCGAGCAGGUGCGAAAGCAGGUCAUAGUGAUCCGGUGGUUCUGAAUGGAAGGGCCAUCGCUCAACGGAUAAAAGGUACUCCGGGGAUAACAGGCUGAUACCGCCCAAGAGUUCAUAUCGACGGCGGUGUUUGGCACCUCGAUGUCGGCUCAUCACAUCCUGGGGCUGAAGUAGGUCCCAAGGGUAUGGCUGUUCGCCAUUUAAAGUGGUACGCGAGCUGGGUUUAGAACGUCGUGAGACAGUUCGGUCCCUAUCUGCCGUGGGCGCUGGAGAACUGAGGGGGGCUGCUCCUAGUACGAGAGGACCGGAGUGGACGCAUCACUGGUGUUCGGGUUGUCAUGCCAAUGGCACUGCCCGGUAGCUAAAUGCGGAAGAGAUAAGUGCUGAAAGCAUCUAAGCACGAAACUUGCCCCGAGAUGAGUUCUCCCUGACUCCUUGAGAGUCCUGAAGGAACGUUGAAGACGACGACGUUGAUAGGCCGGGUGUGUAAGCGCAGCGAUGCGUUGAGCUAACCGGUACUAAUGAACCGUGAGGCUUAACCUU